GAUGAAGAACGCAGCGAAAUGCGAUACGUAAUGUGAAUUGCAGAUUUCAGUGAAUCAUCGAAUCUUUGAACGCACAUUGCGCCCGCUAGUAUUCUGGCGGGCAUGCCUGUUCGAGCGUCAUUUCAACCAUCAAGCCCUAGGCUUGCGUUGGAGCCCUGCGGCUGCCGCAGGCUCCCAAAUCCAGUGGCGGGCUCGUCGUCGUACCGAGUGCAGUAAACAUCCUCGCUCAGGGAACGUGACGGGUUCUUGCCGUGAAACCCCCCACAUGUCAAGGUUGACCUCGGAUCAGGUAGGAAUACCCGCUGAACUUAAGCAUAUCAAUAACGGAGGA
rnacentral:misc_RNA from 1 species